AAAUUGAAGAGUUUGAUCAUGGCUCAGAUUGAACGCUGGCGGCAGGCCUAACACAUGCAAGUCGAGCGGUAGCACAGAGAGCUUGCUCUCGGGUGACGAGCGGCGGACGGGUGAGUAAUGUCUGGGAAACUGCCUGAUGGAGGGGGAUAACUACUGGAAACGGUAGCUAAUACCGCAUAAUGUCGCAAGACCAAAGUGGGGGACCUUCGGGCCUCAUGCCAUCAGAUGUGCCCAGAUGGGAUUAGCUAGUAGGUGGGGUAACGGCUCACCUAGGCGACGAUCCCUAGCUGGUCUGAGAGGAUGACCAGCCACACUGGAACUGAGACACGGUCCAGACUCCUACGGGAGGCAGCAGUGGGGAAUAUUGCACAAUGGGCGCAAGCCUGAUGCAGCCAUGCCGCGUGUGUGAAGAAGGCCUUCGGGUUGUAAAGCACUUUCAGCGGGGAGGAAGGCGGUGAGGUUAAUAACCUCAUCGAUUGACGUUACCCGCAGAAGAAGCACCGGCUAACUCCGUGCCAGCAGCCGCGGUAAUACGGAGGGUGCAAGCGUUAAUCGGAAUUACUGGGCGUAAAGCGCACGCAGGCGGUCUGUCAAGUCGGAUGUGAAAUCCCCGGGCUUAACCUGGGAACUGCAUUCGAAACUGGCAGGCUAGAGUCUUGUAGAGGGGGGUAGAAUUCCAGGUGUAGCGGUGAAAUGCGUAGAGAUCUGGAGGAAUACCGGUGGCGAAGGCGGCCCCCUGGACAAAGACUGACGCUCAGGUGCGAAAGCGUGGGGAGCAAACAGGAUUAGAUACCCUGGUAGUCCACGCCGUAAACGAUGUCGAUUUGGAGGUUGUGCCCUUGAGGCGUGGCUUCCGGAGCUAACGCGUUAAAUCGACCGCCUGGGGAGUACGGCCGCAAGGUUAAAACUCAAAUGAAUUGACGGGGGCCCGCACAAGCGGUGGAGCAUGUGGUUUAAUUCGAUGCAACGCGAAGAACCUUACCUGGUCUUGACAUCCACAGAACUUAGCAGAGAUGCUUUGGUGCCUUCGGGAACUGUGAGACAGGUGCUGCAUGGCUGUCGUCAGCUCGUGUUGUGAAAUGUUGGGUUAAGUCCCGCAACGAGCGCAACCCUUAUCCUUUGUUGCCAGCGGUCCGGCCGGGAACUCAAAGGAGACUGCCAGUGAUAAACUGGAGGAAGGUGGGGAUGACGUCAAGUCAUCAUGGCCCUUACGACCAGGGCUACACACGUGCUACAAUGGCAUAUACAAAGAGAAGCGACCUCGCGAGAGCAAGCGGACCUCAUAAAGUAUGUCGUAGUCCGGAUUGGAGUCUGCAACUCGACUCCAUGAAGUCGGAAUCGCUAGUAAUCGUAGAUCAGAAUGCUACGGUGAAUACGUUCCCGGGCCUUGUACACACCGCCCGUCACACCAUGGGAGUGGGUUGCAAAAGAAGUAGGUAGCUUAACCUUCGGGAGGGCGCUUACCACUUUGUGAUUCAUGACUGGGGUGAAGUCGUAACAAGGUAACCGUAGGGGAACCUGCGGUUGGAUCACCUCCUUACCUUAAAGAA
rnacentral:rRNA from 1 species